UACAGGUCUACAUAUACGAGCAUCGACCUCCUAAGAGGUGAGCCAGUUUUAACCUAAUUAUUUUGGUGUAGUAUCAACUAUCAAGACCUCCAAAAACCCUAAACAAAGCCAAUUGCAUAAGCUUCUCCCUAAUUGUUAUCAACACGUUUACACGAUUAAGAGGCACCCGAGUGAACAACAAGUUAAGGUGCGUAUUUUUUUUGGUAAAUUAGAUGGAUUUUGUUCAUGUGCAUAAUGUGGUUAAUUUUAUAUUGGCCGCCACAAAUCCCCCGCCACCCUCCUCCUUUAUCUAGACUUGAGAGGGGCCGUGAAUGCCGCAGUUUAAUCAUUUCGUAAAUUAGAUGAAUUAAUAAUCAUUUGAUAAAUUAGAUGAAUUAAAAUGGGAGGUGAUAAAUCCAAGGAAAUUUUUACUUAGUGAAAUUUUUACUUGGAUUUAUCAUUUGCCAUUAAUAAUCAUUUGGAGGAAGGAAUUCAUAAUUUCAAACUUAUUCAUAUAUAAAAAUUGAUUCCCCAAAUGUUUUUAUUGUUUGUGUUAAUUAAUACGGAGUAAUAAAUUUUAGGAGGACCUUAUCGAACGUCCUAGGGUUAGUUCCGUAGCUAAUAGCUAUAGACAUAGGACGUAAAGUAGACCUAAAAAGGCUAAAAGGAUGAAAGUAUAUAAUUUUUUGGUCUUUUUUUUCAAAAAAACCCUAAAUAACUCGAAAUUAUUGAUGAAGAUAAUUCAACCUUAAUAUUGGAAUAAACCGUUCUCAUUUCACUAGAUCUAAUAUGUAUUAGAACGAAAAUUACAUAUUAGAUAAUAAAUAAGUAUGUUCAAGAUUUAUUAAUUAUUCAUUAGUUUAGGAAGAGAAAUAUUUCAGUUAAAUGUUCUAUAAAAAAUAUGGUCAAAUAAUAAUUUUUUAAUAUUCGUGCAUAAAGAAAACUUAACACUCUAUGUUUUUUUUUAAUACUAGAAACGUAUUUUUACACUAUUUUCAUUAUCUAUUAUGACUAUCAUGGGUGAUUUAUACACUAAGAUAAAAUAUAGUGUGGAUCUUGUUAAAUGUUAAUUCAUCUUUAUUUUCAAAAUAUUAACUUUUAUAUUUUUUUUUGCUUAAAAUGAAUUUAAGAUAUGAAUGAUCAAAGAGGAUAUAUAUAUCGUUCCCUUAGUAGUACUAAUAUACAUUUUGAGAUCGAGAGAAAAACAGAGAAAGUAAUUAAAGUGAAAUGACCUUGAACGUUGAGUCUAAAUUGUAGAAAAGAAGUCUAGAAAAUGAUGGUGGUAAUACAUGAACAGUCCUCCUCCAGGGGUUAGUAUGAUUACAAUUGAGCUUCUUUUUUUCUCGUCUUUAAAUUAGAACAAGAUAGAAUAUGGGUGAUCCGAAUUUAAAGACUGAAAAAAAGUUGCAUUUCUAAAGGGCAGUGAUAUACUGAUAUAACACAGACCAAGUUUUCCUGCUGCUUUUUUACUGAUUUGAAUCUUUGGUUUGAUUAAAUAAAGUAUAGUUGCUUUGUUAAUCAUGCACUGUUCGCUUUAAUAGUGGAAUGGGAUGUUGUAUUAUCGUUCUGCAAACAUUAUACUGAUUGCUCAUGAACUUUCUCUUUCUUUCCUUGUAAUGUCUAGCACUCGGCGAGGUUAUGAUGACUUACAUUUCUCAGAUGACCUCAGUUACUAUCCUGCAACUUUGAAACUGUUAUAAACCAAAUUUUCCUGCAGGGUUUUUUUGUUGAUUUGAGUCUUUGGUCUGAUUAAUUUAAGUGUAAUUGCUUUUGUUAAUCGUGCACUUACGCUUUACUAGUGGAACGAGAUGUUGUAUAAUCAUUCUGCAUUGAUCAUACUGAUUGCUUAUGAACUUUCUCUUUCUUUCCUUAUGCACUCAGCGAGAUUAUUAUCUUAUGAACCCUGUAGGUUAGAAAUAACUUGAAAAUUAAUGUAAAACACGAAAACAUGCAGAAUGGUUUAGUUGUAUUCUGAAAGUCUGAAUCUGUUGAAAAUUUGAAACUUACACAAAAUGUGCCUAGGAUAAAAAACUCAUGCUCCUAACUUCCUAAGGCGGUGCAACGAUUGCACUUUGAACCAGUGCAAAAAUCACAGGUACAGGUGAAAUCUGAAACUUUCACAAAAUGUUCCUAAGUUGAAUCCUGAAAGUCUGUAACUGUUUGAAAUCAUUUGCAAAAUAACUCAUGCUCCCUCCUAGAGAUUUGCCUCUGAGCCCAAGGUAAGAGUUUAAAAAACUAAUGUUAGAUUAAUAUGUCAUUCAAACUGAGUUUGUUAAAUUUUAGAGAAAUACGAAAUGGACCUGGGUAACCCAAUAAGGAGGAGGAGAGUUCGAUCCACUUAUAAGUCUAACGGAGGUUCCACACUAAAACCAAUUGGCAAUAGUGGGAGUGACUUCACAAGCUUAUAAGAAAGAAGGUUUUGUGCUGGUAUAUUCAGUUUAUUUCAGCAAGUUAUUCAAGACAACAAUAUGAUGAAUGUGGAUGCUAUUCAUACCAUUAUUGGCAUUAUUGGUCCAAACCAAAGAGCGGCCUCAAUCCAUCUCAAGUUCACCUAUCAACCGGAAAACCAAAGGAUGGCCCCAAUCCAUCCCAAGUUCAACUAUCAACUGGCACAAUAAAUUUACCUACAGCUGUUUGAGAUUGAAAUGAA